CGCGGGGUGGAGCAGCUUGGUAGCUCGUCGGGCUCAUAACCCGGAGGUCGUAGGUUCAAAUCCUGCCCCCGCAACCA
rnacentral:tRNA from 9 species